rnacentral:lncRNA from 1 species
AAGACUAAUGGAGAUGGUAGAGAUGUGAUUAGUAGGCACCCAAUUAGCUGAACCAAUCUUGUGUAAGAUGGCAUAUUUGACAGUGAGCCUCCCAGCUGAUAAGUGAUUCCUACUAGGCCAUUCCUUAACUUGGCCAACUGUAAUAACCCUACAGACCUCAUUGUCUGUAGUCUCUAGGUCCACUCCUCCAUCAGUUCCUCUUCCUAGGAACUUGUUGAUAAUACUU